GGAUGAACGCUAGCUACAGGCUUAACACAUGCAAGUCGAGGGGAAACGACAUCGAAAGCUUGCUUUUGAUGGGCGUCGACCGGCGCACGGGUGAGUAACGCGUAUCCAACCUGCCCACCACUUGGGGAUAACCUUGCGAAAGUAAGACUAAUACCCAAUGAUAUCUCUAGAAGACAUCUGAAAGAGAUUAAAGAUUUAUCGGUGAUGGAUGGGGAUGCGUCUGAUUAGCUUGUUGGCGGGGUAACGGCCCACCAAGGCGACGAUCAGUAGGGGUUCUGAGAGGAAGGUCCCCCACAUUGGAACUGAGACACGGUCCAAACUCCUACGGGAGGCAGCAGUGAGGAAUAUUGGUCAAUGGGCGAGAGCCUGAACCAGCCAAGUAGCGUGCAGGAUGACGGCCCUAUGGGUUGUAAACUGCUUUUAUAAGGGAAUAAAGUGAGUCUCGUGAGACUUUUUGCAUGUACCUUAUGAAUAAGGACCGGCUAAUUCCGUGCCAGCAGCCGCGGUAAUACGGAAGGUCCGGGCGUUAUCCGGAUUUAUUGGGUUUAAAGGGAGCGUAGGCCGGAGAUUAAGCGUGUUGUGAAAUGUAGAUGCUCAACAUCUGAACUGCAGCGCGAACUGGUUUCCUUGAGUACGCACAGAGUGGGCGGAAUUCGUGGUGUAGCGGUGAAAUGCUUAGAUAUCACGAAGAACUCCGAUUGCGAAGGCAGCUCACUGGAGCGCAACUGACGCUGAAGCUCGAAAGUGCGGGUAUCGAACAGGAUUAGAUACCCUGGUAGUCCGCACGGUAAACGAUGGAUGCCCGCUGUUGGUCUGAAUAGGUCAGCGGCCAAGCGAAAGCAUUAAGCAUCCCACCUGGGGAGUACGCCGGCAACGGUG
rnacentral:rRNA from 1 species